UACAAGAAAGUUCUGCUCUUUCAAAGCAAUCUGGCAUUACCUGCUAAGAAACGGAAAGUGCAUCAAGUAACCUUCUACAGCGAUCGGUUUACGGAGUCGGCCACACUUAAUGUUUCUUUGUCGUGCAAGAAAAGCAACAUCAAAUAAUGUGUCAGACCUCGCCCUACUCGUUACCACAAAUCGAGAAUACUUUUCAAAGAACAUAAAUUUCCUCGUUUCACUAAUUAGAAAUGAGCAUUCAGGAGUAUAACUUUAAUAGCACCGACUUAGCGACCGAGGACUUUGGAGAAAGAAAGGAAGACGACUUUCCAGAAACUUCUUGCAGAUAAUGUCGAUUGUGCAAAGCAAGACGCUGUUGUGGAGUGGACAAAGUAAGGUUAAGAAGCACUGCUUUAAGAUAGUUCUGCUCUUUCAAAGCAAUCUGGCCUUACCAACUAAGAAACGGAAAGAUCAUCAAGUAAGCCUCUACAGCGAUCGGUUUGCGGAGUCGGCCAUACAUAAUAUUUAUUAGUCGUGGAAGAAGAGCAACAUCAAAUGAUGUGUCAGACCUCACUCUGCUCGUGACCACAAAUCGAGAGUACUUCUCAAAGAACACAAAUUUCCUCGUUUCAGUAAUUAAAAA
rnacentral:lncRNA from 1 species